GAGUGAUGAAGGCUUUCGGGUCGUAAAACUCUGUUGUUAGGGAAGAACAAGUGCUAGUUGAAUAAGCUGGCACCUUGACGGUACCUAACCAGAAAGCCACGGCUAACUACGUGCCAGCAGCCGCGGUAAUACGUAGGUGGCAAGCGUUAUCCGGAAUUAUUGGGCGUAAAGCGCGCGCAGGUGGUUUCUUAAGUCUGAUGUGAAAGCCCACGGCUCAACCGUGGAGGGUCAUUGGAAACUGGGAGACUUGAGUGCAGAAGAGGAAAGUGGAAUUCCAUGUGUAGCGGUGAAAUGCGUAGAGAUAUGGAGGAACACCAGUGGCGAAGGCGACUUUCUGGUCUGUAACUGACACUGAGGCGCGAAAGCGUGGGGAGCAAACAGGAUUAGAUACCCUGGUAGUCCACGCCGUAAACGAUGAGUGCUAAGUGUUAGAGGGUUUCCGCCCUUUAGUGCUGAAGUUAACGCAUUAAGCACUCCGCCUGGAGACGCCGAACGUG
rnacentral:rRNA from 1 species